GGGGACGUAGGCUCAAUCGGCAAACCGCCGCUCUCCAAAAGCGGUUUUCCGGGUUCGAAUCCUGGCGUCCCCGCAA
rnacentral:tRNA from 1 species